CCUACGGGAGGCUGCAGUGGGGAAUAUUGGACAAUGGGGGGAACCCUGAUCCAGCCAUGCCGCGUGUGUGAAGAAGGCCCUCGGGUUGUAAAGCACUUUCAGUGAGGAAGAACGCCUGGUGGUUAAUACCCAUCAGGAAAGACAUCACUCACAGAAGAAGCACCGGCUAACUCCGUGCCAGCAGCCGCGGUAAUACGGAGGGUGCGAGCGUUAAUCGGAAUUACUGGGCGUAAAGCGCGCGUAGGUGGCUUGAUAAGCCGGUUGUGAAAGCCCCGGGCUCAACCUGGGAACGGCAUCCGGAACUGUCAAGCUAGAGUGCAGGAGAGGAAGGUAGAAUUCCCGGUGUAGCGGUGAAAUGCGGAGAGAUCGGGAGGAAUACCAGUGGCGAAGGCGGCCUUCUGGACUGACACUGACACUGAGGUGCGAAAGCGUGGGUAGCAAACAGGAUUAGAUACCCUAGUAGUC
rnacentral:rRNA from 1 species